rnacentral:rRNA from 1 species
UUAGAGUUUGAUCAUGGCUCAGGACGAACGCUGGCGGCGUGCCUAAUACAUGCAAGUAGAACGCUGAAGAGAGGAGCUUGCUCUUCUUGGAUGAGUUGCGAACGGGUGAGUAACGCGUAGGUAACCUGCCUUGUAGCGGGGGAUAACUAUUGGAAACGAUAGCUAAUACCGCAUAACAAUGGAUGACACAUGUCAUUUAUUUGAAAGGGGCAAUUGCUCCACUACAAGAUGGACCUGCGUUGUAUUAGCUAGUAGGUGAGGUAAUGGCUCACCUAGGCGACGAUACAUAGCCGACCUGAGAGGGUGAUCGGCCACACUGGGACUGAGACACGGCCCAGACUCCUACGGGAGGCAGCAGUAGGGAAUCUUCGGCAAUGGGGGCAACCCUGACCGAGCAACGCCGCGUGAGUGAAGAAGGUUUUCGGAUCGUAAAGCUCUGUUGUAAGUCAAGAACGGGUGUGAGAGUGGAAAGUUCACACUGUGACGGUAGCUUACCAGAAAGGGACGGCUAACUACGUGCCAGCAGCCGCGGUAAUACGUAGGUCCCGAGCGUUGUCCGGAUUUAUUGGGCGUAAAGCGAGCGCAGGCGGUUUGAUAAGUCUGAAGUUAAAGGCUGUGGCUCAACCAUAGUUCGCUUUGGAAACUGUCAAACUUGAGUGCAGAAGGGGAGAGUGGAAUUCCAUGUGUAGCGGUGAAAUGCGUAGAUAUAUGGAGGAACACCGGUGGCGAAAGCGGCUCUCUGGUCUGUAACUGACGCUGAGGGCUCGAAAGCGUGGGGAGCGAACAGGAUUAGAUACCCUGGUAGUCCACGCCGUAAACGAUGAGUGCUAGGUGUUGGAUCCUUUCCGGGAUUCAGUGCCGAAGCUAACGCAUUAAGCACUCCGCCUGGGGGAGUACGACCGCAAGGUUGAACUCAAAAGGAAUUGACGGGGGCCCGCACAAGCGGUGGAGCAUGUUGGUUUAAUUCGAAGCAACGCGAAGAACCUUACCAGGUCUUGACAUCCCGAUGCUAUUUCUAGAGAUAGAAAGUUACUUCGGUACAUCGGUGACAGGUGGUGCAUGGUUG